CAUUACCGAGUUUACAACUCCCAAACCCCUGUGAACAUACCAUUUGUUGCCUCGGCGGUGCCUGCUUCGGCAGCCCGCCAGAGGACCCAAACCCUUGAUUUUAUACAGUAUCUUCUGAGUAAAUGAUUAAAUAAAUCAAAACUUUCAACAACGGAUCUCUUGGUUCUGGCAUCGAUGAAGAACGCAGCGAAAUGCGAUAAGUAAUGUGAAUUGCAGAAUUCAGUGAAUCAUCGAAUCUUUGAACGCACAUUGCGCCCGCCAGUAUUCUGGCGGGCAUGCCUGUUCGAGCGUCAUUUCAACCCUCAAGCCCCCGGGCUUGGUGUUGGAGAUCGGCGUGCCCCCCGGGGCGCGCCGGCUCCCAAAUAUAGUGGCGGUCUCGCUGUAGCUUCCUCUGCGUAGUAGCACACCUCGCACUGGAAAACAGCGUGGCCACGCCGUUAAACCCCCCACUUCUGAAAGGUUGACCUCGGAUCAGGUAGGAAUACCCGCUGAACUUAAGCAUAUCAAUAAGCGGAGGAAAAGAAACCAACAGGGAUUGCCCUAGUAACGGCGAGUGAAGCGGCAACAGCUCAAAUUUGAAAUCUGGCCCUCGGGUCCGAAUUGUAAUUUGUAGAGGAUGCUUUUGGUGAGGUACCUUCCGAGUUCCCUGGAACGGGACGCCAUA
rnacentral:rRNA from 1 species